rnacentral:rRNA from 1 species
UGGCGGACGGGUGAGUAACGCGUGGGUAACCUGCCUUAUACAGGGGGAUAACAGUUAGAAAUGACUGCUAAUACCGCAUAAGCGCACAGUACUGCAUGGUACAGUGUGAAAAACUCCGGUGGUAUAAGAUGGACCCGCGUCUGAUUAGCCAGUUGGCGGGGUAACGGCCCACCAAAGCGACGAUCAGUAGCCGACCUGAGAGGGUGACCGGCCACAUUGGGACUGAGACACGGCCCAAACUCCUACGGAAGGCAGCAG